rnacentral:rRNA from 1 species
AGCUACAGGCUUAACACAUGCAAGUCGAGGGGCAGCAUGGUCUUAGCUUGCUAAGGCCGAUGGCGACCGGCGCACGGGUGAGUAACACGUAUCCAACCUGCCGUCUACUCUUGGACAGCCUUCUGAAAGGAAGAUUAAUACAAGAUGGCAUCAUGAGUCCGCAUGUUCACAUGAUUAAAGGUAUUCCGGUAGACGAUGGGGAUGCGUUCCAUUAGAUAGUAGGCGGGGUAACGGCCCACCUAGUCUUCGAUGGAUAGGGGUUCUGAGAGGAAGGUCCCCCACAUUGGAACUGAGACACGGUCCAAACUCCUACGGGAGGCAGCAGUGAGGAAUAUUGGUCAAUGGGCGAGAGCCUGAACCAGCCAAGUAGCGUGAAGGAUGACUGCCCUAUGGGUUGUAAACUUCUUUUAUAAAGGAAUAAAGUCGGGUAUGCAUACCCGUUUGCAUGUACUUUAUGAAUAAGGAUCGGCUAACUCCGUGCCAGCAGCCGCGGUAAUACGGAGGAUCCGAGCGUUAUCCGGAUUUAUUGGGUUUAAAGGGAGCGUAGAUGGAUGUUUAAGUCAGUUGUGAAAGUUUGCGGCUCAACCGCAAAAUUGCAGUUGAUACUGGAUAUCUUGAGUGCAGUUGAGGCAGGCGGAAUUCGUGGUGUAGCGGUGAAAUGCUUAGAUAUCACGAAGAACUCCGAUUGCGAAGGCAGCCUGCUAAGCUGCAACUGACAUUGAGGCUCGAAAGUGUGGGUAUCAAACAGGAUUAGAUACCCUGGUAGUCCACACGGUAAACGAUGAAUACUCGCUGUUUGCGAUAUACAGCAAGCGGCCAAGCGAAAGCGUUAAGUAUUCCACCUGGGGAGUACGCCGGCAACGGUGAAACUCAAAGGAAUUGACGGGGGCCCGCACAAGCGGAGGGACAUGUGGUUUAAUUCGAUGAUACGCGAGGAACCUUACCCGGGCUUAAAUUGCAGAUGAAUUACGGUGAAAGCCGUAAGCCGCAAGGCAUCUGUGAAGGUGCUGCAUGGUUGUCGUCAGCUCGUGCCGUGAGGUGUCGGCUUAAGUGCCAUAACGAGCGCAACCCUUGUUGUCAGUUACUAACAGGUUCCGCUGAGGACUCUGACAAGACUGCCAUCGUAAGAUGUGAGGAAGGUGGGGAUGACGUCAAAUCAGCACGGCCCUUACGUCCGGGGCUACACACGUGUUACAAUGGGGGGGUACAGAGGGCCGCUACCACGCGAGUGGAUGCCAAUCCCAAAAACCUCUCUCAGUUCGGACUGGAGUCUGCAACCCGACUCCACGAAGCUGGAUUCGCUAGUAAUCGCGCAUCAGCCACGGCGCGGUGAAUACGUUCCCGGGCCUUGUACACACCGCCCGUCAAGCCAUGGGAGCCGGGGGUACCUGAAGUGCGUAACCGCGAGGAGCGCCCUAGGGUAAAACUGGUGACUGGGGCU